AUAGAGAUUUUUGAAACAUAAUCCCCAAGGGUGUGUGUAUAAAGGGAAUACUAAAACAAAGGUGAAAGAGGAGAGAAAUAAGAGAAGCAGAAAACACAAAUAAAAAAAAAAAAAAAAAAAAAAAGGCUGUAUCAGUGCUCCAAGUUUGAAUCAAUUUUUCCUGAUAUUUUGCAUCGCCUUUCCAGAAAAUGAAGAUGGGAACAGCUGUAUCUGCUGUUGAUUCUCUGAUUGCAGCGCUGAAAAAACUUGAGAGCAAAGAGUUUUUAUCGAUGUGUGGCUGCAAAUCUCAGAUCGGUGAACUCUUAGUCAUCGUCCCCAAACUGAGAGCUCUGUUCCUCCAAGCUGAGAGUCACUCUGAAGAACAAAAUUCAAGGAUGAGGGAACUGAAGGAUGUCAUCUUUGAAGCAAAUCGGGUGCUCGAGGACAUUAUUGACGUUCAACUCUUGAAAGAUAGAGGUGGUCUUUUUAAAAAGGUGCGUCUCUACUGGGUUGCUUAUUGUGUCUCUCACGAGCUUCGACAAAUUAGGAACAAUCUUAACGUAGAAUUUUUCGGUAUUUUUCCUGAUAUAAGCUGCGUGCUUGAUAUUGCUCCUCCGCGGGAAAGAAGGUUAGAGACCUGUUCAUACGUUUCUGCUUCUGACAUCAUAGGAAGAGAGGAUGAACAGGAGAAUAUCGUUGGUAUGCUGCUUGAUUCUUCUAAUCUUCAAUGCGACCCGUCCUUCCUUUCUAUUGUAGGAAUCGGAGGAUUGGGCAAAACUGUUCUUGCCCAACUUGUGUACAACCAUCCAAGUGUCACAACUGCAUUUCCCUUUAGGAUGUGGGCUUGGAUUGGAGAUACUUUUGAUAUUGAUGAGAUUCUUAGAAGGAUUUUACAAUCAGUCACUCGCCGGAAUCACGAGGGUUCCACUGACCGGGAAAAGGUCCAAAUUCAACUUCAUGAGCAACUAGCAGGCAAGAAAUACUUGAUUGUUUUAGAUGAUGUGUGGAUUGAGAAAUAUGAUGAGUGGAAUAGAUUGGUACCCUUCUUGGUUGGAGGUCUUCAGGGAAGUUGGAUACUGGUGACUACACGCUCAAAAAUCACUGCAACAAUAGUAAAAGGUGAAAUGUAUGAGCUACAAGCCUUAUCAAAGGAAAAUUCAUGGCGCUUGUUUCAACGAGCGGUUUUUAGAUCAGAUCAUUUAUCAAAAUCCCUUGAUGACGAGCUGGUCAUGAUUGGCCGAAAUAUUGUUAACAAAUGUGCCGGAGUUCCACUCAGUAUAAGACUUAUUGGAAGUAUUUUGGAUCGUCAGGACAGGGUCGAGUGGAAACAAUUUCAAGAGAGAGGAUUAGCCUGCAAUAAGAGCUAUGAAAGUUGCAUUAUGCCCAUAUUGAAGUUAAGUUUUGAUAUUCUUGAAUCUCCAUUAAAGAGUUGCUUCCAUUAUUGUGCAUUGUUUCCUAAGGAUUUUGAGAUAGAGAAAGAGAAGUUGAAAAGCCUUUGGAUGGCACAAGGCUAUAUAGCUCCAUCAUAUGAACAUCCAAGUAUAGAAGAUGUGUGUGAGGGAUAUUUUUCAAGUUUGUUAGAUAGAGAUUUUUUCCGAGACAUGAAAAAAGAUAAAUAUGGUCAGAUCGUGUCUUGUAAGAUCCAUGAUAUCAUACAUGAUCUUUGUCAACAUGUCGCAGGGAAGGAAAUGUGUGUAAUGGAAACCAUUUGUUCCAACCUUGAUAAAAAUGUGCACCAUCUAUCAGUUCGGGGGGAAGUUGAUAACUACACAUUGGGUAAAACACAUAUUCUUUCAUAUCUUCAUUUUUGUGGGGAAGGUUAUCAAGUUGGCAAGGUGAAAAUGUCUUACCUGGAGUCAUUGGUAGCAAAAUGUCUAAACCUGAAGGCAUUGGACCUGAGUGGGUUAAUUUUCGAAAGAUUGCCUGAUUCUGUUAGCAAAUUGGUACAAUUGCGGUAUCUAAAUAUCUCCGGGAAUACAGAGAUUGAGUUUCUCCCCAAGUCAAUUACAGAACUUCAUAAUCUACAAACCUUAAUGUUAAGGUCGUGCUGCACACUGAGAGAGUUGCCAAGUGAUCUGGGCAGGUUGGUUGAUCUCAGAUUGUUGGAUAUCAGGAGUUGCUUUAGUUUGACUUGCAUGCCUAGUAGCAUGAGUAAGUUGACAUGCCUUCACAGUCUAAGUGAUUACAUAGUAGGUGGUGAACAAAGUUAUUCAAGUCCGAGCCAGUGGUUUGAUGGGUUGAAUGAGCUAAAGCCUCUUAACAACCUCAGAGGUUGUCUUAACAUCCAGAUCAGGUGGCCUAAACAUGUAAAAUAUACUGUUAAGGAAGACGGUGAACAGGAUGGAUUAUGCCUGGGGAAUAAGGAACAUCUCAUUGCUAUUUUGUUUGAUUUCAUCCAUGAAGAAGAGGAUGGAAGAGCGGGUAACGAGGAAGCAGAAAGAUUGAUGGAAAAGCUACCUCCACAUCGUAAUUUGAAGUUCUUCGAGUUGCAGAAAUACCAUGGUCUAAGAAUGCCUGGUUGGGUAACCCUUCUCCCAAAUCUUGUAGAGCUUUGCCUUACAGAUUGUAGGGAGCUAGAGUACCUGCCAUGCCUCCGAAACUUGGUUUUUUUGAAAGUUCUCAAACUUAUAAAGUUAGCUAAACUAGAGUGGAUAGGGGAAGAUAGCCCAUCGGCUGAUUCCAGUUCCACACCCACGCCUCAUCAAUUACCAUCCCUUGAAAAAAUUGAGAUGAGCAAUCUGCCGAAGUUGAAAGGUUGGAGGAGGGGAGCAGGAGAUGAUCAUCAUCAGUUCCUCAAUGAUGGUAGCAACAACAGCAGCAGCAAUAAGGCACAAUUGCAAUUACUACCAUCUUUGUCUGGCCUGAAAUCUUUGUUCAUAUGGAACUGUCCGGAGAUGGCAUGCUUUCCGCCGUGUCUCAAGCUGGAAGACCUAACAUUACUUAAUUUUAAUAGCAAACUGCAAAUGAUAUUAAACUUGGGAGUGGCUGUCAUUCCCUUUGCAUCUUCUUCGACGUGGUUACCUCACCCUGAAAAUACGAAUGCUCUUAAGAAGGUGACUAUAUCCAAUGUUUCAUGGCUAAGUUCUCUUCCCGAGGAGGCUUUUAAGUUCCUUGAAAGCCUAGAUAUAUGUGGUGACAAGGAACUAGGGAGCUUGGGAGAAGCUACAAAUGUUUUCUGUUGCUGCUCAUCUUCCUUGAGACACUUGAUCAUUCGCAAAUGCUGUACUCUGAGUAGCGUUGCGCCUGGAGGAUUGGAGCAUCUCAUGGCCUUGGAGGAGUUAGAGAUAAGGGAUUGUAAUAGUCUGAGGCUAUCAGAAGAACAACAAGAGGGUGUGGAGUGUAACAUAAACCUCAUGCCACGGCUCAGCACAUUGACAUUGCAUGGUCUCCCACAGCUGGUGAGUCUGCCCAACUGGAUGCAGUUCCUGCCUGCCCUUCAAUCUCUUGAAAUUUCAUUUUGCAACCAACUCAGAUCAAUGCCGAAUUGGAUGGCCAACCUCCAAUCUCUCACUCAUCUUACAGUGUCCGGGUGUUCGAAAAGUCUGAAGAAAAGAUGCCAACAAGAAGAUCCCCCAGGGAAGGACAGGCUUUACAUUCAACACAUCCGGAACAUUCAUUUUCAAGAAUGUUUUUAUUAGGAUUUUUGCUGCUCUCCCUGAAUUCACUUAUCCUGUCCACUACUCCAGUGCAUGUUUCCUUAGACUUAUAUGUUCCAUGGUGAUGGAGAUGUCAGUAAGUGACUUCGUCAAGAGCAGUAGAUAGAGAGCAAUUUACUCAGUGCCCAACCACAUCAGGGGUUGAUCAAGGAACCUGUUCCAAUGCUAGACUUGUCGUCCUUAUAACCGGCAUGUAAAUAUAAAUUAUAAGUAAUGUUUUUUUGAAUGGCGAUUGUGUGUAAUCUUAAGUAUACAAACUUCUCUGUUUUAACUAGGAUUUGUAAUUGCGAUUUCUCCUGUGGAUUACUCAAUUUCCUUCACACUUCAAUAUUAUGGCUGGAAUAGUGAAUACCAAAUAAUAAAAUUUGAGCCACUGCUUACAUCUCCUGUUUCUAAUUGGAAUAGGUUUGUGAGUUGUGUGCUAGGCUGCUAGCUUAUAAAGUUGUAAGUUGUAGGAGCACUA